rnacentral:rRNA from 1 species
AUUGAACGCUGGCGGAAUGCUUUACACAUGCAAGUCGAACGGCAGCACGGACUUCGGUCUGGUGGCGAGUGGCGAACGGGUGAGUAACAUAUCGGAACGUAUCCAAUAAUGGGGGAUAACGAGUCGAAAGAUCCGCUAAUACCGCAUACGCCCUACGGGGAAAGCUGGGGACCUUCGGGCCUGGCGUUAAUGGAGCGGCCGAUAUCUGAUUAGCUAGUUGGUGAGGUAGAGGCUCACCAAGGCGACGAUCAGUAGCUGGUCUGAGAGGACGACCAGCCACACUGGAACUGAGACACGGUCCAGACUCCUACGGGAGGCAGCAGUGGGGAAUUUUGGACAAUGGGCGCAAGCCUGAUCCAGCCAUUCCGCGUGAGUGAAGAAGGCCUUCGGGUUGUAAAGCUCUUUCGCAAGGGAAGAAAACUUAGCUACUAACAUUGGUUGAGGUUGACGGUACCUUGAUAAGAAGCACCGGCUAACUACGUGCCAGCCGCCGCCGUAA